rnacentral:other from 1 species
GAUUCCCCACCGUGUUCGUGAUGUUAAGGGCGAUUAUUGAGCCAACACUUUCAUGAAGGAAGCCCAAAUCUGGCGGGGGAUGUCAUGCCUCUUAAACGUGGAAGGCUGAGCUCGUCAUGAGGGCAUCCACUUGAACCGAAAGGUUCAAGAGUUCCCUUGCUCACGGCAAUGCGUGGGGAAUUU